UGGUACACGUUCGGUGGAGGAACCAGACUGGAUGUUGGAAGUGAUGCCCGUCCCACCCUGACGGUGCUGCCCCCCUCCAGUGAGGAGCUGGACCAGGGCAAGGCCACGCUUAUAUGUCUGGCCGACAAGGGCUUCCCCUCAGACUGGAGUCUGGCCUGGAAGGUGGACGGCAGCAGCAGCAACUGGGAGCAGAGCAGGAGCCCCGCGGUGCUGCAGAAGGACGGCCUCUACAGCUGGAGCAGCACCCUGAGGCUCACUGCAGACCAGUGGAGGAAGGUGGGCUCUGUGACCUGUGAGGCCACCCAGGGCUCCCAGACUCCACUCUCAGAGACACUGAGGAGAGACCAGUGUCCCCAGUCCUGAUCUGACUCACUGGGACUCUGCUACUGGUUUUACUCUGCUACUGCUCUCACUCUGAUGCCUUUAAAUCUCUCUGUUUCUUUCUGUCUAUUUCUCUCUUCACAAUCUUCA